ACAAGCGGUGGAGUAUGUGGUUUAAUUCGACGCAACGCGCAGAACCUUACCUAGACUUGACAUCCCGGGGAUUUUCUGGAAACAGAGAAGUGCUUUAGCAAUAAAGAACCCGGUGACAGGUGCUGCAUGGCUGUCGUCAGCUCGUGUCGUGAGAUGUUGGGUUAAGUCCCGCAACGAGCGCAACCCUCGCCUUUAGUUGCCAGCAUUCAGUUGGGCACUCUAGAGGGACUGCCGGUGUCAAACCGGAGGAAGGUGGGAUGACGUCAAGUCCUCAUGGCCUUUAUGUCUAGGGCUACACACGUACUACAAUGGCCGGUACAAAGGGCAGCCACUCAGCGAUGAGGCGCUAAUCCCAUAAAGCCGGUCUCAGUCCGGAUCGCAGUCUGCAACUCGACUGCGUGAAGUUGGAAUCGCUAGUAAUCGUAGAUCAGCAUGCUACGGUGAAUACGUUCCCGGGCCUU
rnacentral:rRNA from 1 species